UGUAUGAGCUGUUUCGGAUAUUUCGUCUCCUAGAUCCUGGCCUGGCUUAUUUCGUUUCGGCGCUGCUGAGACCUCCUUUCGCGGAAUAUUACUCAAUAUCGACAGUGUGCGAAGAACGCGAGUUCACCUUCUUGACGAAAAUCGUGGACUAACAGUUCGAAGUCAUUGAACUACUUCCAAAAGUUGUAUCGACAUCAACAGGGUUACGAUUUCAGUGCAAUAUGGUGCAGGAUGACCUUAUCACGAUAACCCAUGAUUAUAAACCAUUAUAAACACAGAAUCAACAAAAACAUCUGCGACACGCACCUGGUUACAUUUCUCAAAUAAAUCUGAUCGAGGGUGGGGAAAUCUGAAAUAUCUGAAAGGCAAGACAAUUUUAUGACAGAGUCAUGAAAUUCUGCUACAGCAACAUGCACAGAAUGACCUCCGUAUAAAAAAGGUAUCACCACGGUCCACCACUACUCACAUGUAUCCCCGCAGAAGAACAUGCUAGUCCCAUUUUCUGCAAGAAAAGGCUUGCACAUCAAUGCGUAUAAUACGGUAUUGAUAUGAUGUGAAGGCCAUCAUUUACAUAUUGAUAGGGCAUUUCAUUGAUUGGUGACAGAAAAAACAGAAGAAAUUAUAGCAAUAAAAACUGCUUUAUGGCAGUUUUCUAAAAAAAGU